rnacentral:rRNA from 1 species
GAUGAACGCUGGCGGCGUGCCUAACACAUGCAAGUCGAACGGAGAUUACGGACGGAAGUUUUCGGAUGGAAGACUGUAAUUCUUAGUGGCGGACGGGUGGGUAACGCGUGGGCAACCUGCCCUAUACAGGGGGAUAGCAGCUGGAAACGGCUGGUAAGACCGCAUAAGUCGGUUAAAUCGCAUGAUUUGAUCGGGAAAUGAGCAAUCAGGUAUAGGAUGGGCCCGCGUCCGAUUAGCCAGUUGGCAGGGUAAAAGCCUACCAAAGCGACGAUCGGUAGCCGGACUGAGAGGUCGGACGGCCACAUUGGGACUGAGACACGGCCCAAACUCCUACGGGAGGCAGCAGUGGGGGAUAUUGCACAAUGGAGGAAACUCUGAUGCAGCGACGCCGCGUGAGUGAAGAAGUAUUUCGGUAUGUAAAGCUCUAUCAGCAGGGAAGAUGAUGACGGUACCUGACUAAGAAGCCCCGGCUAACUACGUG